AUAUUGUCUCUAUUGGACACUAUAAUAAAUUAGGCCACAGUUUUAUGUGUCAGUUAAGUGUUUAAGGUUUUUUAUGUUUUUUUUUGCUGCCUAAAAUAGAAAUGCCAUUGGUAAACAUUGCCUUCAAUCAUUUUGGCUGACGGGUAACCAAAGACAUUGGUGGUAGAUUGGGGCUCUUCUUUAUUUCAUAACUCAGAUAUUUGCAAACUUUGCUUUAGUUUCAUGAUUAUGGUUGCUGGUUGGUAUUGAUGAAGAAAGUGGAUAGGUUUUAUGCUAGAUCUUGUCAUUAGUUGGCUUCUUGGUAUGGGCAAAAGGAAUAAAAACUUUGAAUAAUAUUGCUUUCUUACCUUUUUGAGUGCCUGGAUAAUGUGGUAGCAUUUAAUUUGUUGGACAAUUUGGUGAAUCUGUUGAUACACGCAAUUUCUUUUAUUUAUUUAUUAUUUUAGUGUAUUGGUGAUAUUAGUAGCUGUACAACCAACAUCAGAGGUUGAUGAGUGUUACCAGAAAAUGUUGAUACCUAGCGAAUUACCUUUUUGGAACGCACAUUCCGAAAUAUGGUACACAUUCUUUCCAAAACGUUAAAUUUCAUGAUCCAAAACAAUCCCAUAAGUUUUUUCCAAUCUAUUUCAGGGUUUCCUUCGGAGUAAAAAAAAACAAGCCUAAAUUACACUCAUCUCCUUUGAGGUUUGGAAAAAUACAA